GGGUCCCUAGCUCAAUUGGUAGAGCAACGGCCUUUUAAGCCGUGGGUUCUGGGUUCGAGUCCCAGGGGGCUCA
rnacentral:tRNA from 5 species